UUCAACUUUAUUGAAGUUUACAUUUCAUUUUUGUAUUUGUGUUUAUUUUUUAUUUUAUUUAUUUUUUUAUUCGAAGUAUAUUUUAUUAUUUAAUAACAUGUGUGGCGGUUGUUCCGCUGCGUGUGGCAACCAAAUUGGGAAUGUAGUAUACGUCCUUGAAAAAUUAGCAUCCUUUGCCGCGCUAACAGCAAUUGUGUUAUGCAUCAUAACCACAGUCGCCAUUUCUCUGGGCCUAGGGGUCGGACUCGGCUACAAUUAUUGCUACGUUGACUUGAAAGUUAUGACAGAGGAGCCACUAGCAGCAAACUCAGCAAAUUUAUUAAGGACGAUGGAGGAACCUACAGAUCUACCACCAAAUUUCAGGCGGUCUCAGGGCACAUCAGCUCGGCGAACAAUGGCAUUGCCCCCGAUUAAAAAUACCAUGGCAUUGCCACUAAACGGGGAAUACGACUUUCCCUCGUUGAUAUCGAAGCUGAGGUCCCGCAACAAAAAUGUUACCCUAGAAUUAAUUACGUGAUUUAUUGAUCAUGUAUUCUAUGGUGCUUUCAUAUUUUGUAGUUAUUUAUUUGUCUACUUUUUAUACUUUAUAUUUUGUUUAACGUUUAUACUUUAUAUUUUGUUUAACGUUUAUAAUUUAUAUUUUGUUUUACGUUUAUACUUUAUAUUUUGUUUUGUGUUUAUACUUUAUAUUUUGUUUUACGUUUAUACGUUUAUUUUAAUGGUUUACACUUUUUAUUAUUGUAAUUCGUUUUAUUCAUUUGUAUACACAUUAUUUACAUUUUUAAA